GCGAAAGCGAGUCUUAAUAGGGCGUAUAGUUGCUGGGGUGUAGACCCGAAACCAGAUGAUCUACUCAUGGCCAGGAUGAAGCGAGGGUAACACCUCGUGGAGGUCCGAACCCACUAAUGUUGAAAAAUUAGGGGAUGAGCUGUGGGUAGGGGUGAAAGGCUAAACAAAUCUGGAAAUAGCUGGUUCUCUCCGAAAACUAUUUAGGUAGUGCCUCAUGUAUCACCUUUGGGGGUAGAGCACUGUUAUGGCUAGGGGGUCAUUGAGACUUACCAAACCAUUGCAAACUCCGAAUACCAAAGAGUGCGAGCAUGGGAGACAGACAUCGGGUGCUAACGUCCGGUGUCAAAAGGGAAACAACCCAGACCCUCAGCUAAGGUCCCCAAGACACAAUUAAGUGGGAAACGAAGUGGGAAGGCAUAGACAGUCAGGAGUUGGCUUAGAAGCAGCCACCCUUUAAAGAAAGCGUAAUAGCUCACUGAUCGAGUCGUCCUGCGCGGAAGAUGGU
rnacentral:rRNA from 1 species